UCCCUGGUGGUCCAGUGGCUGGAACUCUGCACUCACAAUGCAAGGGCCCAGGUUCAAUCCCUGGUCAGGGAG